rnacentral:tRNA from 1 species
UGGGGGAUCGUCUAACGGUCGGACAAGGGUCUUUGAAGCCCUGAAUUUAGGUUCGAUUCCUAAUCCCCCAGCCA